AGAGAAUUGGCUGAGUGGUUUAAAGCGAUAACCUUGAGAUUUAUUUAAUUUACAAAAAUUACAUCCGUUCGAAUCGGAUAUUCUCUG
rnacentral:tRNA from 1 species